rnacentral:lncRNA from 1 species
GAAGAAUUGUAAAUCAAUAUUGAGUAAAAAUGACGUAUGAAUUUGACAGAACUCGCGCGCCCUUGUCAAAAAAUCCCUACUGGAAAAAACCGCUCGUUUUGAAUCACCCUUUAUCUCUGACUCUAAAAUCUAUGAAACCCUAAAAAAUAUCUUGGUACAUUGUUAUAGAUAAUUUUUAGGGACGUCAUAAAUUGCAUUACAAUUGAAAGAAACACCAUUCAAACAUAUACACUAUAUAUAGGUAUGUAUUGAAUUGCUUAUAAUCGUCCCCGUAAAACUUGAAUUUUUUGAUAUUGCUUUAAUAUAAAGUAUAUUGAAAUGAUACAACCGAAUACGUAUGUACACAUACAUAUUUAAUAAGUAACUAAAAGUUUCUGCAUUUCCGAACGGGGUGUAUAUUUAAGUUUAGAAAAAUAUCCAUAAAUAUAUGUAUGCUUAAGUAUUUAGAGAUUGGUUAUUUGAAAAUGCCUUUUAAUUGAAAAAAUAAUGAGGAAACAUCCAUUGUUUGUUUUGCUAAUAUGGACAUUUCCUUGCCAAGUUUCUUCAACUCUAAAUUGUUUUUUCCUACAGUUUAGAUAAAACUGGGCUGUUUGGUCAAAUAAAUUCCUGUUUGAGGUUAAAAAGGAAAACAGUUGGAAGAAUUUCCCUUUCUUCUUAUUUAUUAAUUCUUUCUCGAAUUAUUGUUGAACUAACAUCUCCUAAAGGAAUCUGUUGUUCGCUGAAUACCUUUGACUUUGUACAAUAAAAUUAGUGAAAUGCCGAAACAAAUUUAUCGCUACGCCUGGAUUGAAAUUAACAGAGGCCAUAAAAUUUGGAGCAACCUACUGGACGACAACAAAAUAUUUUGUCGAAUAUGCCGAUGUUAGUACUUUUACAGCCCCCCAUUCAGAGUCAAACAGACACUUAAUGUCCUCGUCCCACAGCAAGAAUAAAACUGCAUACGAACAACAUUUUACUAAUGAUGAUUCUGACAACUUUAAAACCGACUUCUCAAAGAUCCUAGUUUCCUGUAAUAAACCCCAUUUUCUCAAAGUUUAUGAAGAAAUAUGUCGAUAGAACCGUCCCUAGUAGUAGGACUCCACAUAAAUUAAUGGAGGCUGUCAGCCAGGAUGGUAUCUACAAAAUUAAAGGGAAAAUUGGAGAUAAGGAUAUUUUCAUAGCUGUUGAUGAGACUAAAGACAACUGGGAACGAUCAAUGAAAGCUAUAUUGAUGGGUACUUUGGAGGGCCGUUUCUUGGGUCGGCCUUAUCUUAAACGGUCGAAGAUCUCAAAAGAAGCUACCCCAAUUGAAACAUAUUAUUUGUAUAGCUCAUGGACUCCAUAACGUGGCUGAACUUGCACGUAAAUAAUUUCCAGACAAACGAGCUCAUUUCAGAAAAAAACAACUAUGUUUUUGAAUUCCGGGCUAAGAGAACGGAACUUUACUGAUUCUUACCAAAUUCCCUUACCUUCAGCACCUAUCGUCACACGCUAGGUAACUUGGUUGAAAGUAGUUGAUUACUAAUUCUAUAACUUCGAAGUAAUCAGGGAAUAUUUAAACAACCUCAAUGAAAAAACACCAACGGUCGUUGAAGGUAAGGAGAUUAUCUAUGAUGAGUUUAUUUAUGAAGAAUUGUCAAUAAUUAAUCAUAAUCUCAACCCAAUUACCGAGGGCAUUACUGCGUUAGAAAGAAGACUCCCUUUACUUGUUAGCUUGACUAUUGUCGAUCAUUUACGGGUCGAUAUCAAGCUUGAGCCAUUCAAAACAAAAUUAAAUACAUUUUUAAAUGAAAAUCCAGCGUACAACAAUUUGCAAGACAUAGCAAAUUCUGAGGAGACAAUUUACAGAAACACACCUUUUGUAAAUUGUGACUUAGAGAGGAUUUUCAGCAUAUUGAGAGGCAUUGAUACAAAAAUAAGAUCCUGUUUAUCAGUAAAAAGUGUCAGGAGCAAGCUAAUUAUAAAAUUGAAUAUUGAAAUAUUAUAAUCGUAAGAGUUAGUAUUUAUCGAAUAACUUUUUUAUUAAUAAAUUACAUUUAUUCCUAAAUACAGUAAUAUGGUCAAGAACAACAGCAUGAAUGCUCUCAAAGGUGGUAUCAGCUUCAAAUGGCGUGUAAAUAGUUUGUCUAACAUCAGAUUCUACCUGUAAAGAUUUGGCAUAUACCUAAAUGUUCAUAAUCUCCGGGAUAAGGUGUUAGAAAACACCAGUAAUAUGGUCAUGAACAACAGAAUGAAUGGUGUCAAAGGGGAUUUUAGCUUCAAAUGGCUCGAAUAAUUUGUAAUAUUUAGUGUUAAUGACUUCAAUUUCGUAUCAUUUGUCCCUAAUAGUUUGUUGAAUCCAAUUGUAGUAUUUAGUGUCGUUUGUUAUUAGUAAUUUGUUUCACUUUCCGUGUACAGCUACUAUUAAAAUUUCUAAUUAAUA